AUUGAACGCUGGCGGCAGGCCUAACACAUGCAAGUCGAGCGAGCGGCGGACGGGUGAGUAAUGUAUGGGGACUGCCCGAUAGAGGGGGAUAACUACUGGAAACGGUGGCUAAUACCGCAUACUAUCGGAUAACCCAUCUUGGAUUGGCUAGUAGGUGGGGUAAAGGCGCACCUAGGCGACGAUGUCUAGCUGGUCUGAGAGGAUGAUAAGCCACACUGGGACUGAGAAACGGCCCAGACGGUUACGGAGGAAGAAGUGGGGAAUAUUGAACAAUGGGUGAAAGCCUGCUGCAGCGAGGCGGCGUGUAUGAAGAAGGCCUUAGGGUUGUAAAGCUUUGUCGCUAUCGAAGGGGUAGGUGGAGAAGAAGCGCCGGCUAACUAAGUGCCAGCAGCCGCGGUAAUAC
rnacentral:rRNA from 1 species